UACGUAGGGUGCAAGCGUUGUCCGGAAUUAUUGGGCGUAAAGAGCUCGUAGGCGGUCUGUCGCGUCUGCUGUGAAAACUCAGGGCUUAACCCUGAGCUUGCAGUGGGUACGGGCAGACUAGAGUGGCGGUAGGGGAGACUGGAAUUCCUGGGUGUAGCGGUGAAAUGCGCAGAUAUCGAGGAGGAACACCGGUGGCGAAGGCGGGUCUCUGGGC
rnacentral:rRNA from 1 species